UACGGAGGGUGCAAACGUUGCUCGGAAUCAUUGGGCGUAAAGCGCACGUAGGCGGCCUGUUAAGUCGCGUGUGAAAGCCCCCGGCUCAACUGGGGAGGGUCACGCGAUACUGAUCGACUCGAAGGCAGGAGAGGGUAGUGGAAUUCCCGGUGUAGUGGUGAAAUGCGUAGAUAUCGGGAGGAACACCAGUGGCGAAGGCGACUACCUGGCCUGUUCUUGACGCUGAGGCGCGAAAGCUAGGGGAGCAAACGGG
rnacentral:rRNA from 1 species